GGGGAUGUAGCUCAGUGGUAGAGCUCUUGCCUAGCAUGCACAAGGCCCUGGGUUUGAUUCCCAACACUGCAA
rnacentral:tRNA from 1 species